rnacentral:rRNA from 1 species
AUUGAACGCUGGCGGCAGGCCUAACACAUGCAAGUCGAGCGGCAGCGGGACCUUCGGGUUGCCGGCGAGCGGCGGACGGGUGAGUAAUGCCUAGGAAUCUGCCUGUUAGUGGGGGAUAACGCGGGGAAACUCGCGCUAAUACCGCAUACGUCCUACGGGAGAAAGCGGGGGCUCUUCGGACCUCGCGCUAACAGAUGAGCCUGGGUCGGAUUAGCUAGUUGGUGGGGUAAUGGCCCACCAAGGCGACGAUCCGUAACUGGUCUGAGAGGAUGAUCAGUCACACUGGAACUGAGACACGGUCCAGACUCCUACGGGAGGCAGCAGUGGGGAAUAUUGGACAAUGGGCGAAAGCCUGAUCCAGCCAUGCCGCGUGUGUGAAGAAGGUCUUCGGAUUGUAAAGCACUUUAAGUCGGGAGGAAGGGCUGUAGGCUAAUACCUUGCAGUUUUGACGUUACCGACAGAAUAAGCACCGGCUAACUACGUGCCAGCAGCCGCCGUAA